rnacentral:rRNA from 1 species
UCCCCCAGUAGCGGCGAGCGAACGGGGAGCAGCCCAGAGCCUGAAUCAGUGUGUGUGUUAGUGGAAGCGUCUGGAAAGGCGCGCGAUACAGGGUGACAGCCCCGUACACAAAAAUGCACAUAUUGUGAGCUCGAUGAGUAGGGCGGGACACGUGGUAUCCUGUCUGAAUAUGGGGGGACCAUCCUCCAAGGCUAAAUACUCCUGACUGACCGAUAGUGAACCAGUACCGUGAGGGAAAGGCGAAAAGAACCCCGGCGAGGGGAGUGAAAAAGAACCUGAAACCGUGUACGUACAAGCAGUGGGAGCACGCUUAGGCGUGUGACUGC